UACCCCUUGAGAUACAAACAAAAAAAAAGUGGUACAAACGGGUACAAACAAAGUACAAUCGCUCUACAUUAAGCAUUUUUAUUUCUUAUAAAGUUGUGCGCUUCACACCGUUCUGCGAAAUAGUAGAGAAAGGUUGGCGGUCAUGGAAUACAUCUAAAAAGUGCUGAAAUAUUAUAAUGUCUCAUAUAAAUCACAUUGAAUUCUAAAAACAACCGUUGUAAUUAUUUCGUUACAGUCUAUUUAGACAUUGUAGAAUGGUUACUGGUCAUUAGUAUUUGUUGUAUUUUUAUAAAAGCUGAAUUUCAGUUUUGCAGGUAGCAGAAAUGUUUACAGGUGUAUAUACUUUCUACGUAAUUUUGAGUAAUAUGUUACAUAUGUAGAAAUACGUUAAUUUUUUUAACUUAUUUUAGUUUGAAGGUCUUUAAUAUGAAUUUCGAAUUAAUAAAUUUAAUAAGUGUCGUAAUAUGUGUAUAAAUUUAGCAAAGUCAUGUUACAUAUGCAAAUUUACUGAAUUAAAAAGCUAAUUAUACAUUAAGUAAGAAAUUAUACAUUAAGUGUUAGCAUUAAGGUCUAGCUGUGAUUGUUUAGGCAUAUCGUUCACAUUGUAUUUUCAUAUUAUUGGUCCGAUAAGUUCUCUGUUUUUAGAGUGAUUUGUGUCUUAUUAUUAUUUUUUUUUUUUGUUAAUUUAAAACAUCAAGUAAAAAGCUUCACCGUCUUUUAAUCUUGAAAUUUAAAUGCAAAAAAUUGAGAUUUUUUUUAUUUGAAGUGUUCAAUUUUUGCAAAUUUUUCCAAUAAAAUUUGUUUAAAGAAUUGUAAUUACUUAAAAAUAAUAUAUCUUUUAUUUGAUUCUUGUUUGUAUCUAUCUUACUCGAUGGUAUUGAUUUUGCAUAUGCUAAAUUAAAAAAUAUACUUUCAGUACGGUGACAAAAUUACAAAGUACAAAGUAAGGAUGAGGGAGGGGGCAAAUAGUUACAAUUUAACUUCUUCUUUUUCUCGUAUCUAUUCUACUACCUAUCAUCAAGACAACAAUAGUUCUUAAAUAUCUAACUAUUUUUUAAAGAAGCGGUGAAACCAUAAAGCUGAAUAUUAUAACUAAAGGAGAAGCUUAAAAUUGUCUUCGUGAAAACAAGAUUAAAUCAGAGGAUUUUGUUUUGAUACUUUAAGGUGGAAAGUACCUUUUCAGUAAAAAAUCAUAUCUUAAAAACCUAAAAUCAGUUUACAGAAGAAAAAAAAAGAACUCCGUCACUUGCUCUCAUCUCUCUUACAAAGCAGACUUCGUGAUGAGAAAGGUAACUAAGGUAAUGUGACAAGCUAAGAUUAAAUAAGAUUUUAUUGGAUAAUUUUUUACAAGUUGCACAGAAAAUUUCCAUAUAUUAUUUUGUUAUUUUAAUAUACAGUAUUAAAUAUUAAACAUAUAAUAUUUAACACAUAAUUUAGGAUACAUUUGUAUAUAACAAUAAGAUACGCUUGUGAACAAUAUAGGAACUAUGUUGGAAAAAGUAUCUUAUAAAAGGCACCAUAAGUAUUAUCAUUUAUAAUCUGUUUAAGCUAACUGGUCAAUGUAACAUUUCUAGAUACCAAAGUAUAAAGCGUGGAAUUAAGCGUAACCGUACAAAUACAAAAAGUAUACAUUAUUAGUGUAUAAAGUAAUUUUAUCUUAAAUAUAAUUCAUAUUAAAAACAACUUACAUCAGGUUUAUCAUGUGACCCGUAUUUCAAGUUUUAAUAGAAUAUAAAUUAAAAUUUUAUUAUUGUAUAAAAGCUACGAUAUAAGAAA